UGGCUCAGGACGAACGCUGGCGGCGUGCCUAAUACAUGCAAGUCGAACGGUCUUUCUAUGGAAGCUUGCUCCACUGAGAAGAUAGUGGCGAACGGGUGAGUAACACGUGGGUAACCUGCCCAUAAGAGGGGGGAUAACAUCCGGAAACGGGUGCUAAUACCGCAUAGUUUUCUUGAUCGCAUGAUUGAGAAAGGAAAGACGGCCUUUGUGCUGUCGCUUAUGGAUGGACCCGCGGCGUAUUAGUUAGUUGGUGAGGUAACGGCUCACCAAGACGAUGAUACGUAGCCGACCUGAGAGGGUGAUCGGCCACAUUGGGACUGAGACACGGCCCAAACUCCUACGGGAGGCAGCAGUAGGGAAUCUUCCGCAAUGGACGAAAGUCUGACGGAGCCAACGCCGCGUGAGUGAAGAAGGUUUUCGGAUUGUAAACCUCUGUCGCAGAAGACGAAGGAAGUGACGGUAUUCUGUGAGGAAGCCCCGGCUAACUACGUGCCAGCAGCUGC
rnacentral:rRNA from 1 species